rnacentral:misc_RNA from 1 species
UGUGGGAGCGAGCCUGCUCGCGAUAGCGGUGGGUCAGACAACAUCUUUAUUGGCUGUCACACCGCUAUCGCGAGCAGGCUCGCUCCCACA